GUUUUGAUUGGUGCUUGCAUCAUGAUUUACAUUUGAGUGAGUGGCGAACUGGUGAGUAACACGUGGGAAACCUGCCCAGAAGCGGGGGAUAACACCUGGAAACAGAUGCUAAUACCGCAUAACAACUUGGACCGCAUGGUCCGAGUUUGAAAGAUGGCUUCGGCUAUCACUUUUGGAUGGUCCCGCGGCGUAUUAGCUAGAUGGUGGGGUAACGGCUCACCAUGGCAAUGAUACGUAGCCGACCUGAGAGGGUAAUCGGCCACAUUGGGACUGAGACACGGCCCAAACUCCUACGGGAGGCAGCAGUAGGGAAUCUUCCACAAUGGACGAAAGUCUGAUGGAGCAACGCCGCGUGAGUGAAGAAGGGUUUCGGCUCGUAAAACUCUGUUGUUAAAGAAGAACAUAUCUGAGAGUAACUGUUCAGGUAUUGACGGUAUUUAACCAGAAAGCCACGGCUAACUACGUGCCAGCAGCCGCGGUAAUACGUAGGUGGCAAGCGUUGUCCGGAUUUAUUGGGCGUAAAGCGAGCGCAGGCGGUUUUUUAAGUCUGAUGUGAAAGCCUUCGGCUCAACCGAAGAAGUGCAUCGGAAACUGGGAAACUUGAGUGCAGAAGAGGACAGUGGAACUCCAUGUGUAGCGGUGAAAUGCGUAGAUAUAUGGAAGAACACCAGUGGCGAAGGCGGCUGUCUGGUCUGUAACUGACGCUGAGGCUCGAAAGUAUGGGUAGCAAACAGGAUUAGAUACCCUGGUAGUCCAUACCGUAAACGAUGAAUGCUAAGUGUUGGAGGGUUUCCGCCCUUCAGUGCUGCAGCUAACGCAUUAAGCAUUCCGCCUGGGGAGUACGGCCGCAAGGCUGAAACUCAAAGGAAUUGACGGGGGCCCGCACAAGCGGUGGAGCAUGUGGUUUUAAUUCGAAGCUACGCGAGAACCUUACCAGGUCUUGGACAUACUAUGCAAAUCUUAAGAGAUUAGACGUUCCCUUUCGGGACAUGGAAUAACA
rnacentral:rRNA from 2 species